UUGGAGGGCAAGUCUGGUGCCAGCAGCCGCGGUAAUUCCAGCUCCAAUAGCGUAUAUUAAAGUUGUUGCAGUUAAGAAGCUCGUAGUUGAAUUUCGGGAUCAAUGUUUCGGUCAUGCCGUUGGUAUGUACUGAUAUUAUUGGUUUCUCACCUUCUAAAGAACCGUAAUGCCAUUAAUUUGGUGUCACGGGGAAUUAGGACUGUUACCUUGAAAAAAUUAGAGUGUUUAAAGCAGGCUCACGCUUGAAUACAUUAGCAUGGAAUAAUGAAAUAGGACAUCCGAUUCUAUUUUGUUGGUUUCUAGGAUCGAUGUAAUGAUUAAUAGGGAUAGUUGGGGGCAUUAGUAUUCAAUUGUCAGAGGUGAAAUUCUUGGAUUUAUUGAAGACUAACUACUGCGAAAGCAUUUGCCAAGGAUGUUUUCAUUAAUCAAGAACGAAAGUUAGGGGAUCGAAGACGAUCAGAUACCGUCGUAGUCUUAACCAUAAACUAUGCCGACUAGGGAUCGGAUGAUGUUAAUUUUUUAAUGACUCAUUCGGCACCUUACGGGAAACCAAAG
rnacentral:rRNA from 1 species